AGGAGCAGUAACACAGGGAUUGCCUUAGUAACGGCGAGUGAAGCGGCAAAAGCUCAGAUUUGAAAUCUGUUGCCAUAGAGGCAUCCGAAUUGUAAUCUGUAGAGGAGUAUUCGAGUAUGGCUUUGGCUUAAGUUCCUUGGAACAGGGCGUCAUAGAGGGUGAGAACCCCGUUUACGGCCUUUGUCUUAUGCUUAUGUGAAUCUCUUUCGAUGAGUCGAGUUGUUUGGGAAUGCAGCUCUAAAUGGGUGGUAAAUUCCAUCUAAAGCUAAAUACUGGCAAGAGACCGAUAGCGCACAAGUAGAGUGAUCGAAAGAUGAAAAGAACUCUGAACAGAGAGUUAAAUAGUACGUGAAAUUGUUGAAAGGGAAGCACUUACUACCAGACACACUUGUAGCUGAUCAGCCUCCAAUUUUGGUGGUGCACUCAGUUGUAAGUGGGUCAGCAUCAGUUACAGCGGUGGGAAAAAGACUUUGGGAAUGUGGCUUCCUUCUGGAAGUGUUAUAGCCCAUUGUGGAAUGCUACCUGUAGUGACUGAGGACUGCGCUUCGGCAAGGAUGCUGGCAUAAUGGUCGUAAGUGACCCGUCUUGAAACACGGACCAAGGAGUCUAACAUCUAUGCAAGUGUUUGGGUGUAAAAACCCUUGCGCGAAAUGAAAGUAAAUGCAGAUGGGAAGCGGAAACGUCCCCCAUCGACCGAUCCUGAGGUUUCCGGAUGGAUUUGAGUAGGAGCAUAGCUGUUGGGACCCGAAAGAUGGUGAACUAUGCCUGAAUAGGGUGAAGCCAGAGGAAACUCUGGUGGAGGCUCGCAGCGGUUCUGACGUGCAAAUCGAUCGUCAAAUUUGGGUAUAGGGGCGAAAGACUAAUCGAACCAUCUAGUAGCUGGUUCCGGCCGAUUCCCCCCCUAGAAAAAA
rnacentral:rRNA from 1 species